rfam:Mus musculus chromosome 8, GRC primary reference assembly.
GGAGAGGUGGCUUAGCUGUUGAGAGCAUUGGCUGCUCUGCCAGAGGACCUGGGUUCAAUUCCCAGCAUCUCCA